GUGCUUGCUUCGGCAGCACAUAUUCUAAAAUUGGAAUGAAACAAAAAGAUUAGCAUGGUCCCUGAGCAAGGAUGACAUGUAAAUUUGUGAAGUUUUCCAUAUUUUU